GCAACCUCCUGUACAGGGGUAAAAAAAAAAAAAAUGAGAGCAUAAUUCACAUGGACGUCAUUGAGUGGUAGAAUGGGACGAGAACAAAAAAUUGUCAUGCAGCUUGCUAACAAGCUACUCUCAGAAAAAAAAGACUACCAGAGAGCCUCUUACCUGAAAGCUACUGAAUUUUUUUAAACCCUUUGUUUAUUCUUCUUUGUGUUUAGAUCUUGACCGUAAUACUAAAAAAUCCUGUCUUUAAUCUUUCUCCUGUGUAAACUCACGUUUACAUAAAAACAAACUUGUAGUUGUACACCGUAACAUCAACA
rnacentral:misc_RNA from 1 species